rnacentral:rRNA from 1 species
UACGAAGGGGACUAGCGUUGUUCGGAAUUACUGGGCGUAAAGCGCACGUAGGCGGAUUUGUUAGUCAGGGGUGAAAUCCCGGGGCUCAACCUCGGAACUGCCUUUGAUACUGCAAGUCUCGAGUCCAUAGAGGUGGGUGGAAUUCCUAGUGUAGAGGUGAAAUUCGUAGAUAUUAGGAAGAACACCGGUGGCGAAGGCGGCCCACUGGAUCGGUACUGACGCUGAGGUGCGAAAAGCGUGGGGAGCAAACAGG